UAUAAGUACACGCCUUAAAAAGGUGAAACCGCGAACGGCUCAUUACAACAGCUAUAAUCUACUCGGUCUUGAUCAGUUACUCGGAUAACUGUGGUAAUUCUAGAGCUAAUACGUGCACCGAUGCUGUCCCUUGCGGGGCAGUGCAUUUGUUGGAGCAAAACCAGGCGGCUUCGGCCGUUUUUGCUGACUCAGAACAACUUAGCUGAUCGCAUGGGCUUGUCCCGGCGACGUACCGUCCGAGUGUCUGCCUUAUCAACUUUCGAUGGUAGUGUACGUGACUACCAUGGUUGUGACGGGUAACGGAGGAUAAGGGUUCGACUCCGGAGAAGGGGCCUGAGAAAUGGCCACUACGUCUAAGGAUGGCAGCAGGCGCGCAAAUUACCCACUCUCGGUUCGAGGAGGUAGUGACGAAAAAUAACAAGGCUGUUCUCUACGAGGCCAGCCAUUGGAAUGGGUACAACACAAACCCUUUAACGAGUAUCAAUGAGAGGGCAAGUCUGGUGCCAGCAGCCGCGGUAAUUCCAGCUCUCAAAAUGCAUAGAACCAUUGCUGCGGUUAAAAAGCUCGUAGUUGGAUCUGUGCCGGCGACGUGGUCCACCCGAAAGGGCGGUACUGCGCUCGUCGGCUUUGGGCCGGUCUUCGUGCGGUCGCUUUUAUCGGUGGCCGUCCGUGGCUGGCUGGUUUACUUUGAGCAAAUCAGAGUGCUCAGCACAGGCGUUUCGCCGGAAUGUUCGUGCAUGGAAUAAUAGAAAAGGAUUUCGGUUCUCUUUUAUUGGUUUUGUGGACUGAGAUAAUGGUUAACAGAGACGAACGGGGGCAUUCGUAUUGCUGCGUGAGAGGUGAAAUUCUUGGACCGCAGCAGGACGGACUACAGCGAAAGCAUUUGCCAAGCGCGUCUUCAUUAAUCAAGAACGAAAGUCAGAGGUUCGAAGGCGAUCAGAUA
rnacentral:rRNA from 1 species